GGAAUAUUGGGCAAUGGGCGAAAGCCUGACCCAGCAACGCCGCGUGAAGGAAGAAGGCUUUCGGGUUGUAAACUUCUUUUACCAGGGACGAAGGACGUGACGGUACCUGUCGAUUAAGCCACGGCUAACUACGUGCCAGCAGCCGCGGUAAUACGUAGGUGGCAAGCGUUGUCCGGAUUUACUGGGUGUAAAGGGCGUGUAGCCGGGUUGACAAGUCAGAUGUGAAAUCCUGCGGCUUAACCGCAGAACUGCAUUUGAAACUGUUGAUCUUGAGUACUGGAGAGGCAGACGGAAUUCCUAGUGUAGCGGUGAAAUGCGUAGAUAUUAGGAGGAACACCAGUGGCGAAGGCGGUCUGCUGGACAGCAACUGACGGUGAGGCGCGAAAGCGUGGGGAGCAAACAG
rnacentral:rRNA from 1 species